UACGAAGGGUGCUAGCGUUGUUCGGAAUCACUGGGCGUAAAGCGCGCGUAGGCGGCUUUUCAAGUCAGAGGUGAAAGCCCGGGGCUCAACCCCGGAAUUGCCUUUGAAACUGUCAAGCUUGAGUGUCGGAGGGGAUAGCGGAAUUGCUAAUGUAGAGGUGAAAUUCGUAGAUAUUAGCAGGAACACCGGUGGCGAAGGCGGCUAUCUGGACGACAACUGACGCUGAGGCGCGAAAGCGCGGGGAUCAAACAGG
rnacentral:rRNA from 1 species